rnacentral:lncRNA from 1 species
GUUCCCCGGUGAUAGAUGGUAAUUUCUUACAGCUGCACACUUACCACUACCUUGUGCAUUUGAGGUAUUUUCUUUGAUGAAUUUAAACUGCUAAUAAGAUAUUAGUUGUCCAUAGGAUCAAUUACUUUCAUUUGAGAUGAAAAGAGUGUUCAUUCAGAUUAUCAGAAGUCAUUCUAGCGCAUGAAAGAAGAGCAUCGGCUUUUGAGCAAACACGCCCCUUUACACCAAAGUAUUCGUUCAACUGUAUUAAAUUGUUUUGUUUUGGUUAUAUAUAUAUGUUAAAGAAAUAGUAAUUUUUUGAGUUUGCUAUUUCCCCUUUAGUAAUUGGUAUUUAAUUAUCUAUUACUUUUCUAUACCAGUCCCACACCUUCAUCCUUUCUAAUGUUCAUCAGGAUGCUAUAUGUUAAGGUUUUCUAGUGUUCAGCAUUUUGAACCAAAACAUGUGUUUAACAAUGGCUAAAUCCCCUAAUACCAUUUCUUCUUCAUUUCAG